CCUGGCUCAGGCUGGUCGAAUCACAGCACCUCCACAUGCCCCAGCACACACAGUGACUGUCUAGGGGUGGGCCUGUGACUCAAUCCCGCCAGGAAAAUCCUUCCAGGAAAUGUCUGUAGCUGGGAUUGUGGACAAGUAUUUCCUCUUUGGACACAGGCAGGCACGUUUAAUUGUACGAAAACUCUCCCACCUGGCUGGCAGUACUUCAGGAUAAACCACAUUUUCAAAAGAACAUCUGCUUUUGACUACCGAGGAGAUUGAAUUGUUUCAAAGUGUCACCUGUUCUGUGGCAAGCAAGUGGACCUGUUUUAAUGAUUUUAAGGAGAUAUUGUUUACGGACCAUAUAAACAGUCACUAAAGCCCCCAUAACGUACUCAGAGUAAAAUGAUGCAGAGAAAUAAUGGGCUGGAGAGGACUGAAUGGGCCCAGUGUCUCUGGUGUUCAGCUUAUAGGAAUGUUUGGUUUCUAAACCAUAGGCAAUGCAGACAUCUGUGUUCUUCAAAUGCCUUAAACAUGUUUACCUUGGGUAACACCACACUUGGAUAACAUACAGAAAAAAAUUCCUUCUUUUGAUUUUUCUUCCUAAUUACACGGGGCUGAUGAAUCUAAUCUGGUUUCUUUGUUGGCCCCCUUUUCGAGUCAGUAGAGGGAGCCAGAGUGACCGAGCCGGCCGUCCUGACCUGGCAGGCUUCAAUCAGGCAAUCAGGCCAGAAAAUUGUAGCCGGAGAGUUUCCCUUGGGCUCCAAACAAGCAGAAAAGGGGCAGUGAGGGGAGCAGGAGCUUUCUGAAUCAGGUAGGGCAAGGCUCUCAUGAAGUGUUGCAGUGUUGCAUCAAGAAAAGACCAUUUACAAAGGGGAUCUUUGUGAUGCCCCAUGAUAAAGAGCAAAAUUCGUUUUAUGCAAAUUAGGCAUUACGUAAUCUCCUUCUACACAGUUGGCCUUGGAAAUACACUGCAAGUUUGUGGAGACGGUCCUUGCCGUAUGAGGCCCUGGUGUGUGUUAGCACAGAAUUAGCAAAUUGCUAGAUUCUUGUCAUAGUUCUCAUUAAAUUUCCUAUCCACCACUAUUUUCUCUUUUCCGGGUGCCUGCAUUGGUCUCCUGACAGGUCUCUAUGCUUUCACUUUUACUCAUCUAUACCCUGUUUGUGAUGUGGGAGCCAGAGUGAUCCUUUACAAAUAAGUCACUCUGUUCAAUGACCCUCUGAAGCCUUCCCAACGUAGAGGAAAAGCCGGGGCCCUUGCAACGGCCUCCAAAGUCCCCCACCCUUUGGUGCUUCAUCAUUCUCUGUCCUCAUCCCCCACUGUUCUCCCUCUGCUCCAGGUGGCUGGCCCCUUGCAGCUCCUGGACACUCAAGUUCAUCCCUACCUUAGAAGGCUUUGCAGUGGCUGUUCCUCCACUGAACGCUUUUCCCACAGGCAAACUCCAAGCUCUUCAGCCUUUACUCAAAUAUCAUCUUCACAAUCCACCUAGGAUACUGCUGGUUCCCCGUCUCUUGACAUAUAUUUGGUAACAUUUAAUAACUUUCUAACCUACUACACAAUUCACUUAUUUACUAUAUUUGCUACUUUUUGUCUGUCUUCAGCUACUAGAAUUUAAGCUCUGAGGGUAAGAAAUUUUUUUUUUUUAAUUUUCAUUUUCAGAGGAUUGUGGAUUCACAUGCAAAUUGGAAGAAAUGGUACAAACAGAUCUUGUAUACCAGUUACUCAGUUUCCUCCAGUGGGAACGUCUUCCAAAACAACAGUACAACAUCACAGUCAGAAAAUUGACAUUGAUACACUUUAUCCACCUUAUUCAGAUUUUAUUAUUUUAUGUGAAUUGAUUUCUGUGUGUAUUUAGUUCCAACCAAUUGUAUCGCGCAUUUAGAUCUGUGUGACCAUCAUGUGUGUGACAAUCAAGAUACUGAACAGUUAGCUCCCUUACAAGGUUCAGGGUAAGAAUUUUUAUUUAAUUCAUUGAUAUAUUCCGAGGAUCUGGCACAUAGGAAGUGCUCUAUGCAUAUUUAUUUAAUAAAUCAAGUUAUUUUUUGUAAUGGAACUUAUGUAAAAAUAUUAUCAGCAUCGGGUUACCAAAUAUUUUUUUGGGGGGGGGGGUAACCAAAUAAUUUAAAGCCAUAUUCAGGUUGGGUUUUCUCUUUUGGUUAUUGUUCAUUUAAAAUGUAUCUAAUAAAUGUAAUUCUUUUAGAGUACA